UCGCACCUUUUUACUUUGGCAGUUGGACUGACAUCACCAAGACAUGACUUGGUCACUCAAGUGGGGCAAAAGUGUUAUCAUUUUAAAACUCAGGCAAACUGUGUAUCCAGUCAAAGGAAACGAGU
rnacentral:snoRNA from 1 species